AGACCUAACAAUUAAUUAUGAUAACAACGGGGAAAUCAAAACAAAUUGGUACACAAAGGAGGUAUGGUCUGGUAGGUACCUGAAUUAUCAAUCGUACGUUCCAAUGAAUUAUAAAAGAAGUGUAAUAACGGCACUUACAGAUAGAGCCACUCAAUUGUCACAUUGGGAGUAUAGAACAAAAAAUCUUGAAAAAAUAAAAAAUAUAUUAUUAAUAAAC